rnacentral:lncRNA from 1 species
AUGAAGAUGAUGAUCCCUCUGAGCGUGGGGGUGAGUGCUGGGCUGCAGAGCUCGGAGGGAAUGUGGUGUCUGAUAAGGCUGGGGCUGUUCAGGGUAACCUGGCCUCCUCUUCCUCUCCCCACAGGGGCUGAGCCGGGCUGGGGAGGGAAGUGGCUGCUCCUGAUAAGAGCUCUGGUUCCUGCUGCUGCAGAUUUACAGCCUGGCAGUGGGUGGUGGGUGCUGUGCUUUCUCUGGGGUGAUUUAUCACAGCUCAGGGCAGCAGCUGCUUCCCUCUCUGGCCAGGGCCCAGUGCCUGGCUCAGCCAGGCUGAGGCAAAGGCUCAGCAGAGGUCACCCCACAGUGGGACACAGGUGGGAGCAGGUCUCUGUCACCUGUGGCUUGGAGAAUGUCCCCACCCCAGCAUGGGGAGGGCUGGCAGCAUCAGGCUCCCUGGGGAGAGGCUCUCCCAUGGCAGCAGGGAUGUUCCAGCCUUUCAAUCCCCAGUGCCUGUGCUGGAGCCCACCCAGCUCACCAGUGACCCACUUGGAGACCCAGGACCAUCCCCAGCCCCCUGAGCAGGGCCUGCACCGCCCAGUUGAUUUCCUUGUGUGUGGUACAGACAAUGCCAGGGGGGACGAGCUGCAGUGGGCAAGCCGGGGGAGGAUGAUGAGGAGGGAAAGGUCGGAUGCCAUCACUGCACUCCCAGGGCCCAGCUCCGCUUGGGUGAGCUCCCAGCCCCUCUGGUUUGUUUUAGAGGCAGCACAGGGGCCCCAGAUCCCUGCAAACCCUCCUGCUCUGGGUUUUAUUGGCAUGUGGAAGCAGUUUUGUCUGGUUUCAGAUCUGGCUGAUCAGUGCCUGCCCUCCCCCCGAGAGGGGCUGACAGCCACAGGCGCCCCGACCGCGCUCCUCUUCCUCCCUCUUUCUUCUUUCUCCCCACAUUGUUCUCUGAAAUCCCAGCUGCUGCUUUCCCUCCUCCCUCUCCUAUGCUCUCACAUCAGCUGGGGUGCAUCUAUCUGUGUUUUGUUUAAAAUCUCAUUUUGUUGUCUGCUCUCCUGCCCCCAUCCUGGGGUGUGGGGGUGCCCCAUGCUCUGCUUGGGGCCCUGCAGGGACAGCAGCUCUGGGCACCCCGGGUGUCACCCCCAGGCUGGCAGUGGCACAGGGGGAAGCCCUGGCAGGAGUGAGGGCACCACAAUCUCCAGAGUUCUCAUUUUGCUUCUCUGA